GUAAAUUAUUUGGGAUUAAACAGCAUUUGUUUAAAGGGAACUAAAAGAAAACAGUAGUUUCACACUUUCACUAGUUAUGAGCCUGUGACUAGAGAAGUAGUUGAAAAGAUGGAGAUUAAUUCUUAGUGUUUUUAUGUGUUUGAUUUUAGAAAAAACAUGUUGAAAGCAAUCUUUUUCUUUUGGGGUUGUCCAUGGUUCCUUUGAAAGAAGAGAUAAGUUUAGUAAUUUCAUCUGUUACCAACAAUCUAGAAGAAUUGAUUUUCAAUAAUUGGAAUAUGCAAAAUAUAUCUUUCUUUGUGGUUUCUAAUUGAAAUUAUUGGUUGUGUUCUUAGUCCAAUAUAAGAUAGAUUAUUUGUUUUUGCUAAGUUAGAAUUUUUACAUAAGUAAUUUGAAAACUUGAUUCCUUUUUUAAGGAACAACUUCCCUGGCAAAGCUCAAGGUGUGAAAUUUGCUGGCAAGGUACUCUGGCUAAAGCUGCGCCUGCUAAAGCGGUAUGAAUGAUGCAUCUGCCUUAAUUGCUAUUUUUUUUACCUAUUUUUAUUUAUAUUAUAUGACUUUUGUCUCUUCUUUAAUUUGUUCAGUUUACUUUUUGGAUGGCAAACAUUAAUAUUUAACUAAGUUUAUAUGUAUUUAACUAAUUUUGUUCUUCCUUUUCCUUCCAUAACUAACUUCUGUAUAUUUGGUUUUGAGUUUCCUUUAAAAAUAAGUUUCAUUCCACAUAUAAAUAUUGAAGACUCAAGGGCACCUAGAUAACGCAAUUGGUUAAAGUCAUGUAUUACAUGCAAUAUUUUGUGAAUAUGCAGCAAUAAUACUAAUAAUAGUUCAUAAAUUAUUUGCUUUAAUUUUCUUUUUCUUAUGUUAUACAUGCAUGAUGAAUGUAGCUUUCCAAUUUUUAGUUUGCAUUGCGAUUUCUAUGAACUCGGUAUAUACCACUGCUGCAGUUCUAUGUUAUGGUUUGUUGGCAGUUUUUUAGUUAUUGAACCAUGCUCUUGACUAUUUUCUAUAACUAUAACAACUUGAAAAUUAUAUAGAUUUCCUUUUCCCCAUUUUGAAAAGUAAACAUUUUUUAGUUAACUAAUUGAAAUUUGAAAAAAAGGUCACUAUGUGUAAAACAAACAUUUUUUGGUUAACUAAUUGAUUGUUAGCAUUAUAUUAGAGAAGAGAUCAUGAACUUGAAUUUUAUAGUAAUUCCAUUAGCCUGUGUGUUAGAGUUCAAUCGCAUCUUUUUGCCCUUGAUAUGAUGAACUUGGAUGUAGCUGCUCAAUUGCAGUUUAGAAGUACAAAGAAGGCGGCAGAGUAAUAAGAGAUGUAUUCAUCCUAAUUUUGUGUUAUUGCUGAAAGUUUUAAAUUGCUCUCUCUUGCCUUUUGUGUUGUUCCUCUCCCUCUGAUUUGAACUUUUAUGUGUAUUCAAUUGUCAUGAUUUUAUUUUCAGCUUAGAUGAUAUUGCUUAAGAUAUUCACCAUUCAAUUUGUGCCAUUGAUCCUUGGAGAUGAUGUAGUUGUUGUGCUACUAAUAAUCUCAUUUUUAAUUAUUAUAUUAUUCUUCUCGCAAAACGAGAGUCUCUGGGCACAUGGAGGGGAAGCUGUAAUAAGAACAGCAGGAAGCUCUAGGAAAUAUCAUCGAACUCAUUGGAUUGGUAUCUGGAUUUGAUGAGGGUUGAAAUUGAAGUAGGUUCAAAAAAGCUAUAAUACCGGACUAGUAAAGGUUGCCAUUAGUCGGGAAUGAGCGAGAAGAGAAAGUAGAAAGCCUAGAAGUCAAAGCUUUCUUCCUAUUAUCAAGGAAUCUGCUUUUCAAGUCAAUUGAGCACGCAAGAAGCUAUCCAGAGUAGAGUUAGGGGGAGGCGAAGUUAGUCCAGUUACAGGUUACAGGUAAGCUCAUGAAUGCCUUAUUAGAGGGAAUAUCUCUUUCAAGCUUUCAAGUGAGUGAAGUUAGAUGGGGGUAUAAUCAAAUUUUGAUCGCUCCAGCAAAAGGGUUUUUUAGUUGUAAAUAGCAAAAAACGUCAUUCAAAUGCUCCUUUGGCCUUACCGUGUUACUAUUCGGAGAUCCUAUUCCUAGGGCAUUGGAUGGGCAUCAGAGCCAUCGAUCAACUUUGGCUGAAACAGGCCUACCCGCCAAUCUUAUUAGGUUAGGCCCCUGCAUCCAAUUUAUGGCGCUCUAUCAGCAAGGGAGGGAGCCAAGGUAGUGGUAUUUGCCUUUGCUGCUCUUAGUGAGAAAGGAGCUCUGCCAUCUCUAUCAGCUAGUUAGCUAGCUGCUCUUUUCCUAGUCUUAGCGAGUCUCAUUUUCCUUCGGCUUCUGGCUUUCGGACUAGUAGCUAAGCCUCCUGCCUUUUUAGGCUUUUUAGGUGAGGCAAGCAGGGAGAGAAACGGACAAGGGUUUAGACUCUCUAUUUCCUUUAGCUGGAAAUAGAGGACCUUGAGAUGGUCUUAGAGAAGAGCGAGUUCUAAUGUAUCUAUGCUUUAUAUUGAUAAUAGCAGUCUUAGUCUUCCAGGAGUAGCUCUCCCCAUUCGAGAAUCCUAACUUAAGAUCUACUGGAUGGAGGCUUUAUUGCCAGUAAUGGUAGAUGCAAAAGCGGAAAAGUCAUUGCACAGGGUAUAGUCUCCCUUAAUCCAGGAGAUACUAUAUUAUGUAAGUGAGUUGACCUCCCCACCUGGAGUUUCCCGCCAACUGUAUCACAGCCAGACAUGACGGAUAAACUUGAUCAAUCGUGCUAUGCUAUUGUUUCAGAAAUUACAUAAGAGGCAAGUCAGAAAAGGCAAGAAGCCCCGAGUGAGGCCAAUCAAGUGACACCCUCAGCUGAAUUGGCUAGGCAUUAUCGUUUUUUGACUGGAAUCAUGGUGCAAGUUCUUCCUAUAACUGAUAGAUGCAAUUGAGAAUGAAUCAGAUCAAAUCUCCCUAAAGUACUCUUGAGAAAACACAGGAAGUUUAAAAGAGAUGGUUGUGCUUUUAAGGUUUAUGACAUUUGUGUAGACAAAGGUGAUCGGAAGUAUAAAUAGUUGUUGGAGUGCACACAUAUAAAGGAAAAAAAGACUUACAACAAUAGCUGAUGGUGUGAAAGUGUACAACUAUGAUGUCUAUUUUUACAAGUUGGAAUCAAAGUUGUUAUUGAUUUUUCACUAAAA